rnacentral:snRNA from 1 species
AUACUUACCUGGCAGGGGAGAUACCAUGAUCACGAAGGUGGUUUUCCCAGGGCGAGGCUCACCCAUUGCACUCCGGAUGUGCUGACCCCUGCGAUUUCCCCAAAUGUGGGAAACUCGACUGCAUAAUUUGUGGUAGUGGGGGACUGCGUUCGCGCUUUCCCCUG